UACAGAGGGUGCAAGCGUUAAUCGGAAUUACUGGGCGUAAAGCGCACGCAGGCGGUUGGUUAAGUCAGAUGUGAAAGCCCCGGGCUCAACCUGGGAAUUGCAUUUGAAACUGGCCAACUAGAAUACGGGAGAGGGGGGUAGAAUUCCAAGUGUAGCGGUGAAAUGCGUAGAGAUUUGGAGGAAUACCAGUGGCGAAGGCGGCCCCCUGGCCCGAUAUUGACGCUGAGGUGCGAAAGCGUGGGGAGCAAACAGG
rnacentral:rRNA from 1 species